GGGAAUCCGGUGCAAGUCCGGAACUGUCCCGCAACGGUGUACUGGUGCGCGUUCGUGUACCCGUAAGUCCGAGGACC
rnacentral:ncRNA from 2 species